rnacentral:misc_RNA from 1 species
GGGCGUAUUCCAGGGAG